GCCCCGGCUCCGGAGGAUGCAGAAGGAGGAAGGCACCAGAGUAGCCCGGCCCUGAACGCACCACCCUCACCUCCUGCAACAGGUCUCCUCUUCCCACCUGACAGCAGCAUGACAGCAGCAUGACCCGGCGGCCACAGGAGAAGUCCCCAGAAGCAGGCCCCCUGCUCAGCCACCUGCUGCCCCAGUCUGGGUGUGUGCAGCCUCUUCUCACUGUGGUGGCAUUUGGUCUGGACCUCAGCGUGGGUGAGGAUGUAAAACCCCCCGCUCUGCACAUGCGUGGUCCAGGCCAGCAGGAACCCCCAGCCCCGGCCACCCUCACGCACAUGUCAGCCGUGGAGUAGUGUGGACAUCUCCUCUCAGCUUCUCAGGGUUUCAGUCUUUGGCUUUUCUUCAUUUACUUUGUUUUAUGGUUUUGUGGCUGGACAUUGACAACCAAGUCAGGCACCAUGGGGGAUCAGCAGUUGUACAAGAGCAACCAUGUGACCCACGGUGGUGAGAACCUUUUCUACCAACAGCCACCCCUUGGUGUCCACGGUGGGCUGAACCACAACUAUGGGAAUUCAGUCGCAGCGGGUGGAAUGGAUGCCCCUCAAGCUUCGCCCAUCUCCCCCCACUUUCCUCAAGAUACUCGGGAUGGUCUGAGCUUGCCUGUUAGCUCCAAAAACCUUGGCCAAAUAGAUACCUCGAGACAGGGAGGAUGGGGAGGCCACGCAGGACCUGGUAACCAUGUCCAGCUCCGUGGCAACCUGACCAACUCCAACAUGAUGUGGGGGGCGCCGGCCCAGGUGGAGCCAGCUGAUGGCUAUCAGUACACCUACUCCCAGGCCAGUGAGAUCCGGACCCAGAAGCUCACCAGCGGCGUGUUACACAAGCUGGACUCCUUCACCCAGGUGUUUGCCAACCAAAACCUGCGAAUCCAGGUCAACAACAUGGCCCAGGUGCUGCACACCCAGUCGGCAGUGAUGGAUGGAGCCCCUGACAGUGCCCUCUGCCAGCUGCUGUCUCANNNNNNNNNNNNNNNNNNNNNNNNNNNNNNNNNNNNNNNNNNNNNNNNNNNNNNNNNNNNNNNNNNNNNNNNNNNNNNNNNNNNNNNNNNNNNNNNNNNNNNNNNNNNNNNNNNNNNNNNNNNNNNNNNNNNNNNNNNNNNNNNNNNNNNNNNNNNNNNNNNNNNNNNNNGGUUUCACAGGUGAGCUGUCCAAGCCGGCCCUGCAGGUCGGGCAGCACCCUGCCCAAGGGCACCUGUAUUAUGACUACCAGCAGCCCCUGGGCCAGAUGCCGAUGCAGGGAGGACAGCCGCUGCAGGGCCCCUCGGUGCUGUCCCAGCCCGUGCCACAGAUGCAGCACCAGUAUUAUCCACAGCAGCCACAGCAGCAAGCGGGACAGCAGCGUCUCUCCAUGCAGGAAAUGCAGCCGCAGCCUCCGCAGCAGCUCACCCGCCCGCCUCAGCCUCAGCCUCAGCAGCUGCCGCGGCAAGGUCCAAUGCAGAUACCUCAGUAUUAUCAGCCCCAGCCUAUGAUGCAACACUUGCAAGAGCAGCAGCAGCCAUCGGUGCACCUGCAGCCCCCAUCUUAUCACAGGGACCCCUACCAGUACACCCCGGAGCAGGCACACGCAGUCCAGCUGAUUCAGCUGGGCUCCAUGGCCCCCUACUACUACCAGGAGCCCCAACAGCCCUACAGCCAUCCCCUCUACCAGCAGAGCCACCUGGCCCAGCACCAGCCGCGUGAAGACAGUCAGCUGAAGACUUACUCCAGCGACAGGCAGGCCCCGGCCCUGCUGAGCUCCCACGGGGACCUGGCACCUCCUGAUACCGGAAUGGGAGACUCGGCCAACUCGGACCUGACCCGGGUAGGCAGUGCCCUCCCCCACCGCCCUCUCCUGUCCCCCACGAGUGGGAUCCAUCUCAACAACACGGACCCUCAGCAUCCACAGCCGUCUCCCAGUGCCAUCUGGCCUCAGAUGCACCUACCUGAUGGGAGAGCCCAGCCAGGGUCCCCUGAGUCAAGUGGCCAACCCAAAGGAGUGUUUGGGGAGCAGUUCGAUGCCAAGAACAAGCUGACAUGCCCCAUCUGCCUGAAGGAGUUCAAGAGCCUGCCCGCCCUCAAUGGCCACAUGCGGUCCCACGGGGGAAUGAGGGCCUCCCCCAGCCUCAAACAGGAGGAAGGAGAGAAGGCCCCGCCGCCUCAGCCCCAGCCUCAGCCCCAGCAGCCACUGCCGCCUCCACCUCCGCCUCCGCCGCAGCUCCCUCCCGAGGCAGAAAGCCUCACACCUAUGGUCAUGCCCGUGUCUGUCCCUGUCAAGCUUCUCCCGCCCAAGCCCAGCUCUCAGGGGUUCGCCAACAGCAUCGCUGCCGCCCCCUCCGCCAGAGACAAGCCGGCCAGCUCUGCAUCGGAUGACGAGAUGCCUGUGCUCGUGAGGAUGACCCUCUCUCCCCCACACUCUCCCCAAGGGGCUGCCCCCCGCGCUCCCGCUGUGAGUCGCUGCUCUGCCCCCCUGCCUGGGGCGGGGACAUCCCUUUGCUUUCUCAGAGAUAGGGACAGUUCUUCCAGGGUCACUGGCCAGAGCUCAGCCAUGGCCCAGCCCCCUUGGCCACCUGUCCACUGCCUGCUGCAUUCUGGUUACUCUUGCAGGCUGAUGGCUUGGCUUGGAUUCUGGACACCUCGUGGUGUCCCCAGGUUAGGACAGAGGAUGGCUCAGCCAGCUGUCACUGAUUCAGCCAUACCAGUGAUUCAGAUGCGGAAGUACUUCUGCUCCGGACAUGAACAGCCAUUGCCCAGGGUUCCCUAGGACCUCCAGGCCCCUUCAAACAUGGCCAUCAAACAGGUCACCCCGGCAAAGUGAUGUUUAUCACUCAUUGUUAAAUUCUUCUUCCUUGCCUGACUGCCCAUCUCACCCCACUCUGCCCUUCCCCGGGGAACCUGUGCCUGCAUGGUGGGCUGUAUCAGACUCAUCCCACCCCACAGCCUCCCGUUUCGAUCUUGUUUGUCCUUAGAGAAGAGGCGGCGUAAGGGAAAGUGUGGGCCAGAAGAGGCCAGGGAGGAUGAUUAAGAGAACCAGAAAAGUCAGGAAGAACCAUUUUGGUUCCUGUUGCUAUCAAGGACUCAGAAAAGGAGAGACUGAUGGGAACCUGGAGAGGAAGAGUCUCACGAGCUGGCAGGAGACCAGUGACAGACAGAGAGGAGCCCACAUGCCCAGGUCCCCCUCGGCCCAGGGUGGCGCCUGAUGUCCUAGGAGGAACAGUGUCUGCCCCGGGAGAACUCUCAAUCAGAGUUCCUAGUCAUGCAGGGCCACAGCCCAGGCAGCACACACCCCGCCCCAGACACUCAGGGUGGUAAGAGAAAGAUGAGAGCAGAGGAAAGAGAGAGGAGAGGAUCUAGAAAGAACCCUUGAAUUCUAGCCUCAGCUGUGCCCCUAGCCAGGUGGGACGAAGACAGCUGAGAUGCUCCCCCCUCCAGCCUCCCUUUCCUCCCUUUCCCUGAGGCCUGGACUCCUCUGUGGUGGGAGCUGUAAAGGGCUCGACUCCUGGCCCGGCCCCAGAGUCUAGCUGCCCCCUGGGGAGACCCUAUGAUGGCACCUGUCCCGUGGACAUUCGGAGUGCUGUCUGCCCAGGUAGCUCACAGCCUCACCAGCAGGAUCAGGCAAUCUUGUGAGGAGCUGGAGGAACAGGACUCAAGGGCACAGGAGGGAGAGCCCAGAGGGGCUGUGGCCCCUGGGCUUAGCAGUCAAGUUUGCAGGACACAGGAUCCUGUGAGGCACCUGUGCCUGGAUGGCCAUCAGGGACCUGGAGCAGCUUAACUUUAAGGGCUGCACCCUACAGGGCAUUGCCUCCUUCCCCCACCUCGGCUUCUCCCCCACCUCGGCCUCUCUUCCCCACCUCGGCCUCUCCCACUUCAGCCUCUCUUCCCCACUUCGGCCUCUCCCACCUCUGCCUCUCUCUCCACCACAAGGGCCCUGAGCUGCGGGCCUCAGGUGGGCGUCACGUGGGUAUGUGUGCUGUCACGUGGCCGCCCUUCCCGUCGACCCCCGCGAGGCCCCUGGCUGAGCAGCACACUGACCCAGUGUCCCGUGGCCUCAGCAGCGCCCCUGCGUGUCUUGGUGUCUGUCACGCGCGAGGCAGGUGUCACCAGACCAAGUGGUGACAGGGAGGCAACCGAGAGGUGCGGGCCCACACUAGGAUCCCUGUGCCUUUCCAAGGGCGCGGGUCCCCUCAGCGGGGCUCCUGUCACUCAGGUGUGGCGACAGUAGAGGAACCCAAAGCCGCGCCCCAAACCCGGGCGGGGCGGGGGGCGGCUCUGUUCCCACCCGAACCCUGGGGACAGCGGCCCCGUGGAACCCG
rnacentral:lncRNA from 1 species